CGGGGCAGAGGAGCGGGAGCUGAGCGGCGGGACCGCUCGACUCAAAGCGGCGGCGGCAUCGGCGUUCCGUGUUCGGCUGCGCCGUCCUCAUGCCGCGGAUAAAAGACGUAAUCCUGGGAGGAUCCCGAGGGGACGAUCCAGGCACCUAGCGCUGAUUACGCCGGAGGAGGAGGAGGGAGGAGGAGCUGCUGCUGCAUCAUCCCUCCUUUGGGUCGCCGCCAAAAAUUUGACAGGUCAGCGUAUUAAUGUGGGAAUUCCUCCAGUUGUGCUGUAAACACGAGUGGCCACUCAAAAGAUGAACAGUAAAGGAGAAGGGUAAAAAACAAAAAAGAUACCAAACAAUCUCCAUGACACGAACUUUGACCUUUUGAUCCGCCUGGGAUUUGGGACGUGCCGAUUGGCCGCUUGGCGCCAAAGUGCGUGCACGGUCGCACCACGGCGAGCAUUGUGUCAGGACGCCGAUGAAUUUGACGGCUGGGAGAAGCUCGGGCAGGGAGGGGAGAACUUUAGGAAGGAGGCACGACCUCACGGAUGAGAGCAAAGUCCCAGCUGCGCAAAAAUGAAAAGUCACCCGCUCUGCAAUAAAAGCGGAGCGAAGAGACUCACGUGACUUUUUCUGAACUGCCGCUUUGCGUUGUUUUGACAUCCACAUACAAUAAAUGGAUGACAUCAUAAGACCA